GAAUGCAAAGCCGGCAGCAGCAUGAGCCCAAAUGCCCUUCCGGCCCUCUGAAGCCAACAGAGAUAUCCCAGACUCAGCCAUCAGUGAUGUAAAAUGUGCUGGAGACGUUGUGAUGAUGCAUCACAUGUGAAGUGACCCGACUAUAAACUAGAGAUUAUUUGUCAACUCCAAAAGGAUACGCUUGAAGGCAUGUAGUUUUGACAUCCAGUACUGCUGUAAUUCAGUUACCACACUGUGACAUCUCCUGUGUAUCUAUUGACCCAUUCCCUGUCUUUUACUGCUGGAAGUCAAAUCCCAGCAUCCCCUGACCUGACCCUCACUGGCUUAUUUUCAUUUCUUCUGCAAGCAGGAAACAAAAUCAAACUUCUCCCUGCCCCUGCUGAUUUCCCAGAAUGCAGUAUUUUCAGUCUAAACAGGGGUAGAAACAGGUAGCGUUAUCUUGGCCGGACCUUUUGCCCCCUUUAUACUGACCAAGGUCAGCAUGGGACCCUCAACCGAAAGAAAUGCAGUAAAUAUUACCCCCUUAAAAAUCACGAGAGGCAGGAGAGCAUCGUUUCAACAUGUUAUUCCCACAGAUAGAAAAAACAGGGUUAUGGUUGAAAGAUUUUCAAAAUCUUCCGGAGUGUUCCACUUCUAAGAAAACCCCAGAGCAGAGGUCCUGUUUUGGUUGGAAAUGAACAAUAUUCAGCCUGACAUGAAACGUGACAAAUGUCUUUUAGGGCUUUUACAUUUUAAUUAUUAUUCUGUCAUGCCUAAUAAAAAUGUAGGAUUGUCCACGGGGGAAAUGGGAAUCAAACCCCUCUCAGUUGGACAGUGUGUUUAUGUGAAA